rnacentral:rRNA from 1 species
UACGAAGGGGGCUAGCGUUGUUCGGAAUUACUGGGCGUAAAGCGCGCGCAGGCGGUUCUUUAAGUCAGGGGUGAAAGCCCAGAGCUCAACUCUGGAACUGCCCUUGAAACUAGAGAACUUGGGUACGGGAGAGGUGAGUGGAAUUCCGAGUGUAGAGGUGAAAUUCGUAGAUAUUCGGAAGAACACCAGUGGCGAAGGCGGCUCACUGGCCCGGUACUGACGCUGAGGUGCGAAAGCGUGGGGAGCAAACAGG